GUUUUUUUUCGAGCUUUAAUUUUAUUAACGAUACGCUUCCUGAUUCUGAAUCGCGCAGACGGGACUCGGCACAGGCUUCGCGCGGCACAGGCAUUUACAGGCAUUUCGCGCGCGCGCAGUACAGGCAUCUCGCGCGGAAGAGUUUGUUUAACUAUGGAUAUUUUGCCGAAGAGGAGAGAAGAGAUUUUACAGUCUGUUUUCAAUCUCAUCUCUACAGUUGUUGAUGGAUCUCAGGAACAUUCACGUGACACAUUUCUAGAAAUUGUACAGUGCAUUAAUGAACUCUUUCAAAAUUUCCCAAAACAUGCCUAUAACAAUUCCAAUUUAACAAAUGAGGAUAGAAAAUAUGUGGAAAUAAAGCUUCAACAAAUCGAUAUUACUAAAAAUCAAAAUCAGUUUGGGUUUGCUGUAAUUAUAGACAUUAAUAAUGAUACAGUAGAGUAUACUGAGUUUGUUAAACCUAAGGAAAAAGAAGGUAACAUUGAUCGCCAUACACAGGAGACAAAAUAUCAUUGUGAAGAAAUUAUAAUCCAACAGAUUAAAGAAAAGAUUAAGAAUAGAUAUGGACUAAAAAUAAUUAUCUUCACUUAUUACAGCCCCUGCCUUUUUAAAAAGGGGGGUGUAUCUUGUAUGAGUAUGUUAACUAAAGCUGCAGAUGAUUGGAAACCUCAUAACAUAUCCACAACAGUUAUUUUUAAAGAAUAUUAUCAUCUUCAACAUUCAAUAACAAGAUUUAUUUCCAGUCUUAAUGCUGGAAAUUUAAAAGCCAUCUCUAGCUGUUCUGAUUACCGUGCAUAUGAAACAGAGGUAAGUAUACAACAUUUACCAAAGGUUGAGGAAGUUUUAUUUGUAUUAGUGAAGAAAAUUCUUAAUCUGGAUAGGAUAUUGCCAGUACAGAAGCCACUUAAAAUAGAGUGGAUAAAAAACAGAGGAACUUUGAUGAAGAAAAUUGACUCACCUGUAAAGAAGUUCUUUAUUACGUGUUUGGACAAAGACCUACAAAACUUACAAAUGUUUCCUCAAACUUUGAAUGAGUAUUAUAACCUAAUUCAACCAUUCCAUGAGUUAAAAGGUUUUUGGGUAAUGAUUUGCGAUGCAAUGUAUACAAAACAUUGCAAAGACAUAUUUAUUCAAUAUUAUAACAAGGCAAUUUUUAAUAUUUAUAAGUCAAAUGCUUUACAUGAAAAAUCUUUGCUGAUUUUAUGCUUACAAAAUGUGGAUGACCACUUUUAACGACAAUUAAAAAAAUAAAAAAACAAUUAAAAAAACA
rnacentral:lncRNA from 1 species